UAGUUUUAAGACAUUUAUUACUGAUGAUAACACAACUUUUCCACAAUGUUCAAAACUGACCAUAUAGUGCAAACUAAUUGAUUGGAAGACUGCAUACCUGCAUACCCAGUGAUGUAAAAUACUUUAAAGUACUACCUACAUAGUUUUUUCUUUGGUAUCUGUACUUUACUAUUUAUGUAUAUUUUUGACAAUGUAUACUUUUACUUUACUACAUUCCUAAAGAAAAUCAUGUACUUUUUACUCCAUACAUUUUCCCCGACACUCAAAAGUACUCAUUACAUUUUGAAUGCUUAGCAGUACAGGAAAAUGGUCCAAGUCACGCAUUUAUCAAGACAACGUUCCUGGUCAUAUGUACUGCCUCUGAUCUGGCAGACCAACUAAACAAAAAUACUUUGUUUGUAAAUUACGUCUGAGUGUAAGAGGGCGCUCCUGGCUAUCUGUAAAACAAAUAUGUAAUAAAAAUAUGAGUGCCGUCUGGUUUGCUUUAUAAAAGGAAUUUGAAAUGAUUUAUACUUUUACUUUUGAUACUUAAGUACAUUUUUGAGAUUACAUUGACUUUUGAUACUUAAGUAUAUUUAAAACCAAAUACUUUUAGACUUUUACUCAAGUAGGAUUUUACUGGGUGACUCACUUUUACUUGAGUCCUUUCAUAUUAAGGUAUCUUUACUUUUACUCAAGUAUGACAAUUGGGUACCUUACACAUACCUCAGCUACAUAGUCUACAGAACCAGUGGCCACAGGGAAAGGGUUGUCGUAGACUCACACAAGAGACAGUCAGGGUGGGCUAUCCAAAGGGUAAAGCUGACACACAGGUACAACACACACAUAAGACAUUCCCUCCACAAAACCCUGCUCUCUUCUUUGCACAACAUCUCUUUAAAAUAGUAUUGAGACAGUGACAUAUUUUUGGUUUGUUUUGGCUCUGUACCCCAGCACUUUGGAUUUUAAAUUAUAUCAUGACUGUGAGGUUGACGUGCAGAGUGUCAUAUUUAAUUUGAGGAUAUUUUUAUCCAAAUCGGGUGAACCAUUUAGAAAUUACAGCACUUUUUCUACAUAGUUCCCCCAUUUUAAGGCACCAAAAGUAUUACGACAAAUGUACUUGUAUGUGUAUGAAAGUAGUAAAAAGUUAAGUAUUUGGUCCCAUAGUCAUCGCACACAAUGACCACAUCAAGCUUGUGACUCUACACAUUUAUUGAAUGCAUUUGCUGUUUGUUUUGGUUGUGUUUCAGAUUAUUUUGUGCCCAAUACAUAGGAAUGGUAAAUAAUGAAUUGUGUCUGUAACUUUCUCAUUCAUCAUUAUUCACGAUUCAUUCAGGAUUAUCCGUAAUCAUGGUAGCAUCCACAUUAAUGCAGAAAUGUUUAGAAACAUAUUUUAUUCUUAUUUUACAAUUAAAGUGACUCCAAAAUGACACGAUACAUUAUUGACCAUUCAUUUAUAUUGGGCACAAUAUAAUCUGAAACACAACCAAAACAAACAACAAAUGCAUUCAACAAAUUUGCAGUCACAAGCUUGAUGUAGUCAUUGCGUGCGAUGAAUAUGGGACCAAAUACUUAACUUUCUACUACUUUAAUACACAUAAGUGCAUUUGUCCAAAUGGGGGGACUAUUUACAAAAAGUGCUGUCAUUUCUAAACGGUUCACCCGAUAUGGAUGAAAAUAACCUCAAAUUAAAGCUGACAGUCAGCACUUUAACAUCAUAGUCAUUGAAUAAUUUUAAAUCCAAAGUGUACAGAGCCAAAACAACAAGUUUCACUGCCCCAAUACAAAUGGAACACACUGUAUUAAUAUAAUAUGAAUGCAUCAUCACUGACACAGCUCCGGUGCAUAGCUUAGACUUAAACAAAAGUGUGGUAUGUAAGUAUGCCUGCAUGCACUGACACAACUCCGGUGCAUAGCUUAGACUUAAACAAAAGUUGUGGUAUGUAAGUAUGCCUGCAUGCACUGACACAACUCCGGUGCAUAGCUUAGACUUAAACAAAAGUAUGGUAUGUAAGUAUGCCUGCAUGCACUGACACAACUCCGGUGCAUAGCUUAGACUUAAACAAAAGUAUGGUAUGUAAGUAUGCCUGCAUGCACUGACACAACUCCGGUGCAUAGCUUAGACUUAAACAAAAGUGUGGUAUGUAAGUAUGCCUGCAUGCACUGACACAAGCACGCUCGUGCUGGAACACUCAAAACGUACAGUACUCUUACUUGUUAGGAGGCAUAUUUGUCACUAAACAAACCAUCUAAGGGCCUUUGAGCAUUUGACCAUAUCCUCUGACAAGCCACUCUGAAGAUGGGGAGCAUGCAUAAAAAUAUAAAUACAUCUCAAAGAAUGUAUGUAAUUCUAAACAAAUUAGCAAUGCAUAUUGUGGGAUUUGAAGUGAUGUGAGUUGUGUCCGUGUCAGAGUCAUGCCAGAGCAUAGCAGGCCAGCUGAGUCAACAUCGCACCACCUCUACUGAUCCUCCACUGGAACACUUUAGACAGCUACUCAGACGUCCUGCUCUCUAUUGUUUAUGCAGUGAAAACAGGUGUUAGCUGGCUGCCAGCAUAACUGUAAAACAAUUAAUGGAGCUAUAAAGCGCAGUAUAAAAAAUUAACAUAAACUUCAGUAUUCCGGAGUAGAGGAAAAGUCAGAGACGCACAAUUAUAGUACAUUAUUAAAAACGCUUUAGUAGUAUCCCAGCAUAAUUGAACUUCAGUUUCUGUACUGUCAUGGCUGCUCUCUGUUGGACAAAUAGUAGAACUGCGACUGAACAAACCAAGGCAAAACAAAUCUAAAAUUUUAUGGGUGAGAAUAUGAUAUAUGGGACUUUUGUAAGAAGUUUUCAAAAUGCAACAUUUUGUUUAAUUUCCUAUGUUUAGCUACAUUUAAUAAGAUAAAAACACAGGAAAUUGAUGCCAGUAUCAGAUACUGCAUACUGCUAGAUAAGCAAAUAAUAGAACAGUAAAACAAAAUAGAAAUUACAAUCAAAAUCUGCAUAUGCAAAAAAAAA
ensembl:lncRNA